rnacentral:rRNA from 1 species
GACGAACGCUGGCGGCGUGCCUAAUACAUGCAAGUCGAACGCACGAAGUUGAAGAGCUUGCUCUUUAACCAAUUGAGUGGCGGACGGGUGAGUAACACGUGGGUAACCUGCCCAUUAGAGGGGGAUAACAUUCGGAAACGGAUGCUAAUACCGCAUAGUUUCAGGAAUCGCAUGAUUCUUGAAGGAAAGGUGGCUUCGGCUACCACCAAUGGAUGGACCCGCGGCGUAUUAGCUAGUUGGUGAGGUAAUGGCUCACCAAGGCAAUGAUACGUAGCCGACCUGAGAGGGUGAUCGGCCACACUGGGACUGAGACACGGCCCAGACUCCUACGGGAGGCAGCAGUAGGGAAUCUUCCGCAAUGGACGAAAGUCUGACGGAGCAACGCCGCGUGAGUGAAGAAGGUUUUCGGAUCGUAAAACUCUGUUGUUAAAGAAGAACAAGGAUGAGAGUAACUGCUCAUCCCCUGACGGUAUUUAACCAGAAAGCCACGGCUAACUACGUGCCAGCAGCCGCGGUAAUACGUAGGUGGCAAGCGUUGUCCGGAUUUAUUGGGCGUAAAGCGAGCGCAGGCGGUUCUUUAAGUCUGAUGUGAAAGCCCCCGGCUCAACCGGGGAGGGUCAUUGGAAACUGGAGAACUUGAGUGCAGAAGAGGAGAGUGGAAUUCCACGUGUAGCGGUGAAAUGCGUAGAUAUGUGGAGGAACACCAGUGGCGAAGGCGACUCUCUGGUCUGUAACUGACGCUGAGGCUCGAAAGCGUGGGGAGCAAACAGG